GCGUAGAUAUAUGGAAGAACACCAGUGGCGAAGGCGGCUACCUGGUCUGCAACUGACGCUGAGACUCGAAAGCAUGGGUAGCGAACAGGAUUAGAUACCCUGGUAGUCCAUGCCGUAAACGAUGAGUGCUAGGUGUUGGAGGGUUUCCGCCCUUCAGUGCCGGAGCUAACGCAUUAAGCACUCCGCCUGGGGAGUACGACCGCAAGGUUGAAACUCAAAGGAAUUGACGGGGGCCCGCACAAGCGGUGGAGCAUGUGGUUUAAUUCGAAGCUACGCGAAGAACCUUACCAGGUCUUGACAUCUUGCGCCAACCCUAGAGAUAGGGCGUUUCCUUCGGGAACGCAAUGACAGGUGGUGCAUGGUCGUCGUCAGCUCGUGUCGUGAGAUGUUGGGUUAAGUCCCGCAACGAGCGCAACCCUUGUUACUAGUUGCCAGCAUUAAGUUGGGCACUCUAGUGAGACUGCCGGUGACAAACCGGAGGAAGGUGGGGACGACGUCAGAUCAUCAUGCCCCUUAUGACCUGGGCUACACACGUGCUACAAUGGACGGUACAACGAGUCGCGAACUCGCGAGGGCAAGCAAAUCUCUUAAAACCGUUCUCAGUUCGGACUGCAGGCUGCAACUCGCCUGCACGAAGUCGGAAUCGCUAGUAAUCGCGGAUCAGCAUGCCGCGGUGAAUACGUUCCCGGGCCUUGUACACACCGCCCGUCACACCAUGAGAGUUUGUAACACCCAAAGUCGGUGGGGUAACCUUUUAGGAGCCAGCCGCCUAAGGUGGGACAGAUGAUUAGGGUG
rnacentral:rRNA from 2 species